rnacentral:rRNA from 1 species
ACACAUGCAAGUCGAGCGGUAAGCCCCUUCGGGGUACACGAGCGGCGAACGGGUGAGUAACACGUGGGUGACCUGCCCCCAGCUCUGGGAUAAGCCCGGGAAACUGGGUCUAAUACCGGAUAUGACUUCAUGCCGCAUGGUGUGUUGUGGAAAGUUUUUCGGUUGGGGAUGGGCCCGCGGCCUAUCAGCUUGUUGGUGGGGUGAUGGCCUACCAAGGCGACGACGGGUAGCCGGCCUGAGAGGGCGACCGGCCACACUGGGACUGAGACACGGCCCAGACUCCUACGGGAGGCAGCAGUGGGGAAUAUUGCGCAAUGGGCGGAAGCCUGACGCAGCGACGCCGCGUGGGGGAUGACGGCCUUCGGGUUGUAAACCUCUUUCGACCGGGACGAAGAGAAAUUGACGGUACCGGUAUAAGAAGCACCGGCCAACUACGUGCCAGCAGCCGCGGUAAUACGUAGGGUGCGAGCGUUGUCCGGAAUUAUUGGGCGUAAAGAGCUCGUAGGCGGUCUGUCGCGUCGGUCGUGAAAACUUGGGGCUUAACCCUGAGCUUGCGGUCGAUACGGGCAUGACUGGAGUUCGGCAGGGGAGACUGGAAUUCCUGGUGUAGCGGUGAAAUGCGCAGAUAUCAGGAGGAACACCGGUGGCGAAAGCGGGUCUCUGGGCCGAUACUGACGCUGAGGAGCGAAAGCGUGGGGAGCGAACAGGAUUAGAUACCCUGGUAGUCCACGCCCUAAACGAUGUCAACUAGCUGUUGGGGCCUUCGGGCCUUGGUAGCGCAGCUAACGCGUGAAGUUGACCGCCUGGGGAGUACGGUCGCAGAUUAAA